GAAUGAUUAUGGUGAAUUGUCUAAAUGAAAAUAAUAGUAAGGGUUUUAAUCACAUUUCCCAUUCUCCUUCCCACAUUUUUUACAUAUGUUGCCUUCCAAAAUUUUACAAUUAAACCUUUUCUUCCUAAAUUCAAAAACCACAUCUAUACCAAAGCGCCAGUUUCCAAAUUUUGUCACUACCUUCCUCUCAUUCCCCUUCUUCUUAUUCCUCUUCUUCCAUUUCCCCUUCCGAUUCUCCUUCUUUCAUUUCCGUAUCAUGAUUCCUAGUCCAAACAACCGUCAUUACAUUUCAAUACUUGCCGUAGAGCCACCACAGUGAUGAUGGAGCUGCAGAUUGCAGUUGUGCAGACCGGUGAAAUCUAUACCAAACGAGGGAGCUCGCACUCAUAAGUUCACGGUCCAUGACAAGCAAAAAAUGUUAAUGACGUUAUUCAAAACCCUAAAACUUUUCCUAUAUCAAAACACUAAACACUAGUUCAUUGUGGUUUUUUGGGUUGGCUGUUGCUGCAACUCAUAUCAUGAGUUUACUAUUCGCUUAGGCACGACUACAGUUAGGUAAAUGGUAGUUGUCAUUGCCUUUAUCCGGUGUCCUCAUUGCUGGCUUCUGCAAUAUGAUUUUUCAUCUUUAUGCAGGAGGCAGAGAAUCCUUCUUAUGUCUGAUCUUCCAAGACACAGAUUGAUAGGAUAGCUGACAAUAUUUAGAAAAAUGAUAUUUUAACACCAUUUCUUUGAC
rnacentral:lncRNA from 1 species